CUUGAGGCACUAGGCUUGAAGAGCGGAGUUCUAGAAUCUUUGCUGGGACGCAGCACAACGUCCAAUGCCGUAACAUAUCUGUUCUAACAAAUGAUUGGCUAAGAGCGGUGUCAGAUAAAUAUCUGCUAUAUCAUUGGUUAAAAACGUAAACAAGGCUCCAUGUGCUGCCACUCAUACAUAUGCCGGCUUCUUUGACAGAAAGUUUGCAUCAUGCCAAAACGUAAGACCUCAUUCAAUCCAGAAUGGACGAAAGAGCACGAUUUUAUAUCUAAAACCAGUCGAGACUCCUUUCAUGGCUUCUGCACACUUUGUCGUUGUGAUUUUGACAUAAGCAGUAAGGGAAAAGCUGCCAUUGAACGACAUGCGGAUACGGAGAAGCAUAAAACUAAUAGACGUGCGGCAGGUACCUCUUCAAUGAGGACAUUUUUUCGUGAAGCCUCGUCGCCCCUGGAUAAUAAAAUAACCGCUGCUGAGCUGUGCAAGGUUUACCAUGCUGUAAAGCAACACCAGUCGUACAGAAGUGUAGACUGCGGCGUGAAAGUGGACCGGGAGAUUUUCAGUGACUCGCCCACAGCUAAAGGGAUGACUGAAGCAGCUGCCCCCUUGCCAGUCAAAAAAAUGUGAAGCAGAUGUUCUGCUUUUUUAUGAAAGAGCAAAGAAAUACAUCAGUGAAAGAUAUGACUUCUCUGACACAACCUAGCAAAGUGGCCAAGCUUGGCCUCAAAACUUCUGUGCCAUUUGAAGACUACAGUGCUGCUGUCCAGGCCUGCAAUCUGGACAUUGAUAUGGAUGGACUGUAUGAGGAAUAUGCCAUGGUGGAAGGUUCCUUCAGCUCACCAGAAAUGGAAGGUUGCCACAGUGAGGAACGAUAUUUGAAACUGUUUUCCAAAGCAGAUGUACCACUUGUGAAUCUCAGGAAGGUCAGCGCCUAUAUUUUCUCCAUCCCAUGCAGCAAUGCACAUACAGAACGUGUCUUUUCAAUGAUGACAACUGCAUGGAGAAACGAGAGGAAUCGCCUGGAUGUGGACAGUGUCAAGGCUGAGCUGCAAGUGUGUGUCGAUUUCACUUAUCCCUGCACAGAGGUGUACAAGAAGUUCAUUGAAAACAAAAAACUCUUGGAUGCAGCCAGGAAAGAACAGAAGCAUUGCAGAUAGACAAUCAACUACUUUGUCCCUGCAGGAUAUAAACAGGCCCAGUGGCAGUGGGGGCUUGGAAGCCAUGAUGUCAGAGGUGCUGUUGUCUCCUGAGCUGCUACAGAGGGUGAAUGUGGAGUUUGCCUAAAUACAGUGCAACAUCUGGAAAUAACAAACGUUACUGAUUGUGAAUAUCGUAGGUGAGAGCUUCAGGACAUCACUAACAAGAUGGCGACGGUGACGUCAUAAGAGGACCCGCCCCCGACGACGUCAGCCUAUAGAAGAGUCCGGAGAACCCCAUGUGACAAGCGGCUAACUGGAUCCAGCCCCCCGCUACCAACCAAUGAGAGCACGAGACCGGAGCAGGUCUUAUUUCGAAGUUGUUUAUUUUAUGGCCGGAAAGGAAUGGUUCUAUAAAACAUGUUUGUAUUGUGAAAUCAAUCUCUUUUGUUCCGGACCGCCAGACAGUAACUACUGAUGAGCUCCACUCAUUCAGCGGCCUGUGGACGCGUGUACCGGGCUAUUGAGCCACAGCUGUGAAACUUUUGUAAAAUUCUACUGCUGCAUCCUUUUAUUAAAUACUCCUUUUAAAACUAAUAAGAGGAGCUUCACUUUGUUUUCUUUUACAUCGACUCCUGGGCUUUGAGUAAAAGAACAUUUCCUACAGUAUUCUAUCAGUUCUUACAGGAUGUGUCUUGAAACUAUUUAUUUAAAAAACUUUACUUCCUCUGAAUUCUUUCUGUUAAUGAGUAAUGCUAAGUUUUACAACUUAAAAAAAAAAAACAUUGUCAUGAGGGUUUUCGUUAUAAUCAGGCCACCCUUCAAAUUGGGCUCUUGCAAACAUGUAUUAAAUCGAUGUUGACACAUCGAGUAGAGCAAUUUUACUUUUCAGGUCAAAAGUAAUGUUAAAGUUACAGUGUUGUCUACUUGGUUCACUAAAGGCUCUUGUAUCUCCUUUUUCCUCAGUUAUCCAUGCAAAUAACGGCUUGGUUAAAAAAACUAGACAUUUUUUACGACCUCCUGAGCUUAACUCAUGGGCCACGAUCAGACGAAACUGAGAACUCUCUUUCUUUCAUCUAUCCAUUAUAGUCUUGUAUUUUGAAAAGUAGCGGCAAAUUGGUUAAACCUUUGGGCCUUAGGCCUGUUGAACUGAUCUGUGGUCUUCUUGCA